rnacentral:rRNA from 1 species
AUUGAACGCUGGCGGCAUGCCUUACACAUGCAAGUCGAACGGCAGCACGGGACCAAUCCUGGUGGCGAGUGGCGAACGGGUGAGUAAUACAUCGGAACGUGCCCAGUUGUGGGGGAUAGCCCGGCGAAAGCCGGAUUAAUACCGCAUACGACCUUAUGGGUGAAAGCGGGGGAUCGCAAGACCUCGCGCAAUUGGAGCGG